rnacentral:piRNA from 1 species
UUGUACGACCUGUCUUACAAU